AAAAUCACUGAGUUUUCCCUUGCCUUCUCUUAAUCCAAUAAUAAAGAGAAAAGGUGUAAAAGUCCAACACGUUGCCGAUAGGUGGUGGAAUUUCAGGGGGAGGAAUGACAGGUUCUAGCGGCGGCCCCCUUUGGGGUCGUCUUUGGCCUCAAUUGGCCGUGGCAUUGGUUAUUCUCUUUGUUUCAAGCAAUGUAGGUUCAGUCUCAGGAGAUGCUUAUCUUUAUAGUUCACCACCUCCACCUUAUGUAUACAAGUCCCCACCACCUCCACCUCCAUCUCCUCCUCCACCAUAUAUCUACAAGUCACCUCCUCUACCUUCUCCUUCCCCACCACCAUCGUAUGAGUACAAGUCACCACCACCACCAUCCUCAUCUCCCCCACCACCUUACAUCUACAAAUCACCUCCUCCACCAUCUCAAUCUCCCCCGCCACCUUAUGUCUACAAGUCACCACCUCCACCUUACAUCUACAAAUCUCCUCCACCCCCUUCACCAUCCCCACCACCCCCUACUAUUAUAAGUCUCCACCACCUCCUUCGCCAUCUCCCCCACCACCUUAUGUCUAUAAGUCACCACCUCCACCUUCACCAUCACCACCCCCACCUUACAUCUAUAAAUCUCCUCCACCCCCUUCACCAUCCCCACCACCCCCUUACUAUUAUAACUCUCCACCACCUCCUUCGCCAUCUCCCCCACCACCUUACUACUACAAGUCUCCCCCACCACCCGAUCCUUCACCACCACCUCCAUACUACUACAAGUCACCACCUCCACCUUCAUCAUCACCACCUCCACCUUACAUCUACAAAUCUCCCCCACCACCUCCCUACUAUUAUAAGUCUCCACCACCUCCUUCGCCAUCUCCUCCACCACCUUACUACUACAAGUCUCCACCACCUCCCUCACCAUCUCCUCCACCACCAUACUACUAUAAGUCACCACCACCUCCUUCACCAUCUCCACCACCCCCUUACUACUACAAAUCCCCACCACCACCCAAAAAAUCACCACCACCACCAUACUACUACAAGUCACCACCUCCUCCCUCACCAUCACCACCCCCACCAUACUACUACAAGUCUCCACCACCACCUACUCAUUCACCACCUCCACCUUAUUACUACAAGUCACCACCACCACCCCCACCAUCUCCUCCCUCUCCAUACUACUACAAGUCUCCACCUCCUCCUUCACCAUCUCCUCCACCACCAUACUAUUACAAAUCUCCUCCACCACCUUCAAAAUCUUCUCCACCUCCUUAUUACUACAAGUCUCCACCACCUCCAACUAAGUCCCCACCACCUCCAACACCAUACUACUACAAGUCUCCACCACCACCUAAAGCUCUACCUCCUCCAUACUACUACACUUCCCCCCCUCCUCCCGUCCCUUACCCUCACCACCACCAUCAUGACUUAAUUGUGAAGGUGGUAGGAAAAGUUUAUUGUUACAGAUGUUAUGAUUGGGGAUAUCCAUUGAAGUCACAUGAUAAAAAGCAUCUAAAAGGUAAAACAUGUCUAAAACAUCAAAAUGUAAAACUAAUUAACUAAUACUAUUAAUUAUAUUAAAUUGGAAGAACAACAAGCUUAUUAUUUAUUUUAGUUUGACCUUCAAAACAAGCUUAAUGCUUCAAAAAUAUAUAUGAAUUUGCUCACUUUCAUUAUUGUGCGUGAAAUAGGUGCCGUGGUGGAGGUAACAUGCAAGGCAGGUACUAAGAAGGUCAAGGCCUAUGGUAAAACCAAGAUCAAUGGAAAAUACAGUAUCACCGUUAAAGGCUUCAACUAUAAAAAGUAUGGAGGAGAGGCAUGCAAGGCCAAGCUUCACGCUGCACCAAAGGGUUCAUCAUGCAAUAUCCCAACUGGCCUACAUUGGGGUAACAAAGGUGCCUCCCUUGAGGUGAAGUCCAAGACAAAGUAUGAAGUUGUGCUCUCAGCUAAGUCAUUCGCUUAUGCUCCUAAGACCCCUUAUAAGGAGUGUGAGAAGCACAAGCCCACUCCGGCUCCUUACUACUACAAGUCCCCUCCACCCCCACCUCCUACUUACAUAUACAAGUCACCACCACCCCCACCUUAUCCUUAUAAAUCACCCCCUCCACCAACAUAUAUCUAUAAAUCACCACCACCACCAACUCAUUCCCCCCCACCACCAUAUUAUUAUAAAUCACCACCACCUCCUUCACCAUCCCCCCCACCUCCAUACUAUUAUAAAUCCCCACCACCACCAUCUUCAUCACCACCACCACCCUACUACUACAAAUCACCUCCACCACCGGUUCACUCCCCUCCCCCACCUUACUACUACAAAUCACCACCCCACCAUCUCCGUCAUCUCCGCCACCAUACUACUACAAAUCACCUCCCCCACCAUCUCCGUCACCUCCUCCACCAUACUACUACAAAUCACCUCCCCCACCGGUUCAUUCUCCUCCCCCACCUUACUACUAUAAAUCUCCUCCUCCACCGGUUCAUUCCCCCCCUCCACCUUACUACUACAAAUCACCACCUCCGCCAUCUCCGUCACCUCCUCCACCGUACUACUACAAAUCACCUCCACCACCAAUUCACUCCCUCCCCCACCAUACUACUACAAAUCUCCUCCUCCACCGGUUCAUUCCCCCCCUCCACCUUACUACUACAAAUCACCACCUCCGCCAUCUCCGUCACCUCCUCCACCGUACUAUUAUAAAUCACCUCCACCACCAGUUCACUCCCCUCCCCCACCAUACUACUACAAAUCUCCUCCUCCACCAUCACCAUCUCCUCCUCCACCCUACUACUACAAAUCACCUCCUCCACCAUCGCCAUCUCCUCCUCCACCCUACUAUUACAAAUCCCCACCACCUCCAUCUCCAUCUCCUCCACCUCCAUACUACUACAAAUCCCCUCCACCACCCGAUCCUUCACCACCACCUCCAUACCACUACAAGUCCCCACCACCUCCUUCACCAUCUCCUCCACCACCCUACUACUACAAAUCCCCACCCCCCUCGCCAUCUCCUCCACCCCCAUACUACUACAAAUCCCCACCACCACCAUCGUCAUCUCCUCCUCCUCCAUACCAUUACAAGCUCCCCACCCCCACCAUCAUCAUCUCCUCCCCCUCCAUACCACUACAGCUCCCCACCCCCGCCAUCCCCAUCACCACCACCUCCUUACUACUACAAGUCUCCUCCACCACCGUCCCCAUCUCCCCCUCCUCCAUAUGUCUACAAGUCCCCACCUCCCCCUUCACCAUCACCACCUCCUCCCUACUACUACCAUUCACCUCCCCGCCGAUGAAAUCACCCCCACCCCCGGUUUACAUUUACUCUUCUCCACCACCACCAAUUCACUACUAGGCACAGAAAGCUCCGUAAAUCACCACAAAUCAUGUAAGUAAAGGUUUUUCUAUCUCAACUGCUCACCAUGUCAAAUAUUAAUGCCAAAAAAGUUUAAGAUAAUAUAAUGUAAUUAGUCCUCACUUCCAAUUGUACUUGAUUUGCAGGUUUUAGUUUCAGCAACGUAAUAAAAGAAGGCCGGUUCAAGAGCGAAAAGAGUAGAUACGAAGCAUACUUUCCAAAUCCAUUCAAUAAGUGUCUAAAUUUUGCAACAAAAAUGUUAAAAAACUUUACCAUUCUCUCAAACUUCAACGUGGCAAUCUUGCAUGCCAUUAUAUUGGGCCCGGCUUCAAAAGGUUCCCUUCGAAUCAAGAUGAGGAAGUGAGAUUGAAGAAGUAGACCGGGAUUUGGAAAUAAGCUUUCGCAGAUUGUUUGUUAGUUGUUUUUAUUUUAAUUUAAUUUAUUUUAUCAAAUUAUUAUAGGGGUUCCAUUUAAUUUAUUUAAUAAAUGUAUUAUCGCAUAGCCUCGUUUGUUGUGGUUCUAUUUAUUGUGAGCAAAUUGUGGUUUCUGGGACCUUCUUGUGCUUUACACCGUGGUUAUUGGUAAUAAAGGAGCGCUCUUUUUCAACUUA
rnacentral:lncRNA from 1 species